UACGAAGGGGGCUAGCGUUGCUCGGAAUCACUGGGCGUAAAGCGCACGUAGGCGGAUUGUUAAGUCAGGGGUGAAAUCCUGGAGCUCAACUCCAGAACUGCCUUUGAUACUGACGAUCUCGAGUCCGGGAGAGGUGAGUGGAACUCCGAGUGUAGAGGUGAAAUUCGUAGAUAUUCGGAAGAACACCAGUGGCGAAGGCGGCUCACUGGCCCGGUACUGACGCUGAGGUGCGAAAGCGUGGGGAGCAAACAGG
rnacentral:rRNA from 1 species